rnacentral:misc_RNA from 1 species
AACGCACAUUGCGCCCCUUGGUAUUCCAUGGGGCAUGCCUGUUCGAGCGUCAUUGAAACCCUCAAGCUCUGCUUGGUGAUGGGUGUUUGUUCUGCCCGCGUGCAUGAACUCGCCUCAAAGUCAUUGGCAGCCGGCGUUAUGGUCUGAGAGUGCAGCACAUUUUGCGCUCAAAGCCAAUGAGCGUCUGGCGUCCACAAAGCCAACCUUCUCAGUUGACCUCGGAUCAGGUAGGGAUACCCGCUGAACUUAA